rnacentral:rRNA from 1 species
GUGCACCAGGCGAGAAUUUUUGACAAUGGGGGAAACCCUGAUCGAGCGACGCCGCGUGGAGGAUGAAGGUCUUCGGAUUGUAAACUCCUGUCAUUGGGGAACAAGGUGCAUACGUUAACUGCGUGUGUAUUGAUAGUACCCGAAGAGGAAGGGACGGCUAACUCUGUGCCAGCAGCCGCGGUAAUACAGAGGUCCCAAGCGUUGUUCGGAUUCAUUGGGCGUAAAGGGUGCGUAGGCGGCGCGGUAAGUCGGGUGUGAAAUCUCGGAGCUUAACUCCGAAACUGCAUUCGAUACUGCCGUGCUUGAGGACUGGAGAGGAGACUGGAAUUUACGGUGUAGCGGUGAAAUGCGUAGAUAUCGUAAGGAAGACCAGUGGCGAAGGCGGGUCUCUGGACAGUUCCUGACGCUGAGGCACGAAGGCCAGGGGAGCAAACGGGAUUAGAUACCCCUGUAGU